GUACACUCCUGCGGGAGGCAGCAGUGGGGAAUAUUGCACAAUGGGCGCAAGCCUGAUGCAGCCAUGCCGCGUGUAUGAAGAAGGCCUUCGGGUUGUAAAGUACUUUCAGCGGGGAGGAAGGCAAUACGGUUAAUAACCGUGUUGAUUGACGUUACCCGCAGAAGAAGCACCGGCUAACUCCGUGCCAGCAGCCGCGGUAAUACGGAGGGUGCAAGCGUUAAUCGGAAUUACUGGGCGUAAAGCGCACGCAGGCGGUCUGUCAAGUCGGAUGUGAAAUCCCCGGGCUCAACCUGGGAACUGCAUUCGAAACUGGCAGGCUUGAGUCUUGUAGAGGGGGGUAGAAUUCCAGGUGUAGCGGUGAAAUGCGUAGAGAUCUGGAGGAAUACCGGUGGCGAAGGCGGCCCCCUGGACAAAGACUGACGCUCAGGUGCGAAAGCGUGGGGAGCAAACAGGAUUAGAUACCCGGGUAGUCCCAUGA
rnacentral:rRNA from 1 species